AGUGCAAUACAACUCAAUAUACCACUAAAAAGGCUCUACAAAUCUUUGAAAUAGAGGAAAUGAAAUCAAUUUACAAAAGAAAUCAUUUCACAAUUUGGAAUCAAUUUGAUUACUCAUCAACCCCUCGUAAUUCCUCUCAAUGUUCUCUCAAAUGCAUGUACAGAAUAAUCAAGCAUGGAGAAUCAAGAUUAUAGAGGAAUCUACUACAACAAUUAAUCAAUAAGCUCAG
rnacentral:lncRNA from 1 species